ensembl:snoRNA
UGGACCAAUGAUGAGAACUGUCAGCGAAUAAGUUGCAGAUGAUGAAUGGCAUGUGUCUAGGACUCCGAGGUCUAU